CAAUCUAUGGUAUUUACUUAUUUGCAUUUCUUGAAAAUCUGAACAAAAUGACUGAAUACUCACUACUCUCUCCUAAUCACAUGGUUC
ensembl:snoRNA SNORD116 Small nucleolar RNA SNORD116